UGAACGACUCUCGGCAACGGAUAUCUCGGCUCUCGCAUCGAUGAAGAACGUAGCGAAAUGCGAUACUUGGUGUGAAUUGCAGAAUCCCGUGAACCAUCGAGUUUUUGAACGCAAGUUGCGCCCGAGACUUCGGUCGAGGGCACGUCUGCCUGGGCGUCACAU
rnacentral:rRNA from 1 species